rnacentral:rRNA from 1 species
UCGAGAGGCUUCGGCAAUGGGGGAAACCCUGACCCAGCAACGCCGCGUGAAGGAUGAAGUAUUUCGGUAUGUAAACUUCGAAAGAAUAGGAAGAAUAAAUGACGGUACUAUUUAUAAGGUCCGGCUAACUACGUGCCAGCAGCCGCGGUAAUACGUAGGGACCAAGCGUUGUUCGGAUUUACUGGGCGUAAAGGGCGCGUAGGCGGUCUUGUAAGUCCCGUGUGAAAGCCCCCGGCUCAACCGGGGAAUGGCACGGGAAACUGCGAGGCUUGAGUUCGGGAGAGGGAAGCGGAAUUCCGGGUGUAGCGGUGAAAUGCGUAGAUAUCCGGAGGAACACCAGUGGCGAAGGCGGCUUCCUGGACCGAUACUGACGCUGAGGCGCGAAAGCUAGGGGANCAAACGGGAUUAGAUACCCAAGUAGUCCCUGAGCGGGCUGGCAAGGCGCAU